AUUGAACGCUGGCGGCAGGCUUAACACAUGCAAGUCGAGCGGAUGAAGGUAGCUUGCUACCGGAUUCAGCGGCGGACGGGUGAGUAAUGCUUAGGAAUCUGCCUAUUAGUGGGGGACAACGUUCCGAAAGGAGCGCUAAUACCGCAUACGUCCUACGGGAGAAAGCAGGGGACCUUCGGGCCUUGCACUAAUAGAUGAGCCUAAGUCGGAUUAGCUAGUUGGUAGGGUAAAGGCCUACCAAGGCGACGAUCUGUAGCGGGUCUGAGAGGAUGAUCCGCCACACUGGGACUGAGACACGGCCCAGACUCCUACGGGAGGCAGCAGUGGGGAAUAUUGGACAAUGGGGGGAACCCUGAUCCAGCCAUGCCGCGUGUGUGAAGAAGGCCUUUUGGUUGUAGAGCACUUUAAGCGAGGAGGAGGCUACCUAGAUUAAUACUUUAGGAUAGUGGACGUUACUCGCAGAAUAAGUACCGGCUAACUCUGUGCCAGCAGCCGCGGUAAUACAGAGGGUGCGAGCGUUAAUCGGAUUUACUGGGCGUAAAGCGUGCGUAGGCGGCCAAUUAAGUCAAAUGUGAAAUCCCCGAGCUUAACUUGGGAAUUGCAUUCGAUACUGGUUGGCUAGAGUAUGGG
rnacentral:rRNA from 1 species